rnacentral:rRNA from 1 species
ACGGCGAGUGAAGCGGCAACAGCUCAAAUUUGAAAUCUGGCGUAAGCCCGAGUUGUAAUUUGUAGAGGAUGCUUCUGGGUAGCGGCCGGUCUAAGUUCCUUGGAACAGGACGUCAUAGAGGGUGAGAAUCCCGUAUGUGAUUGGCUUGCACCCUCCACGUAGCUCCUUCGACGAGUCGAGUUGUUUGGGAAUGCAGCUCUAAAUGGGAGGUAAAUUUCUUCUAAAGCUAAAUACCGGCCAGAGACCGAUAGCGCACAAGUAGAGUGAUCGAAAGAUGAAAAGCACUUUGGAAAGAGAGUUAAAAAGCACGUGAAAUUGUUGAAAGGGAAGCGCCCGCAACCAGACUUUGCGGCGGUGUUCCGCCGGUCUUCUGACCGGUUUAUUCGCCGCCGUGAGGCCAUCAUCGUCUCGGACCGCUGGAUAAGACCUUAGGAAUGUAGCUUCCCUCGGGAAGUGUUAUAGCCUCUGGUGAUGCAGCGAGUCUGGGGCGAGGUCCGCGCUUCGGCAAGGAUGAUGGCGUAAUGGUUGUCGGCGGCCCGUCUUGAAACACGGACCAAGGAGUCUAACAUCUAUGCGAGUGUUCGGGUGUCAAACCCCUACGCGUAAUGAAAGUGAACGGAGGUGGGAACUUUUUGUGCACCAUCGACCGAUCCUGAUGUCCUCGGAUGGAUUUGAGUAAGAGCAUAGCUGUUGGGACCCGAAAGAUGGUGAACUAUGCCUGAAUAGGGUGAAGCCAGAGGAAACUCUGGUGGAGGCUCGCAGCGGUUCUGACGUGCAAAUCGAUCGUCAAAUUUGGGUAUAGGGGCGAAAGACUAAUCGA